AUCUUUGCGCUUGGGGCAAUGACGCCGCUAGUGAGGUUCUAACUGAGGUGAGUCUAUUGUUGGUUGAAAAUUAUUUCCAAACCCCCUUUUCGGCUCGGGCUUGAAUUGGGGUGUUGAGAAUUUCUGGAAGAGCUCCUCUUUUUUGGGGUAAAGCU